rfam:Shewanella baltica OS195 plasmid pS19503, complete sequence.
GGGCAGGAUAGGUGAUGUAGUCCUACAAUGGUAAACCAUUGCAGACUUCAUCACUUUGACUUAUUCGCUCCCUUCGGGGCUCAACGUUCCUGCUCUGCGAGGCA